GAUGAACGCUGGCUACAGGCUUAACACAUGCAAGUCGAGGGGAAACGACGGGGAAGCUUGCUUCCCCGGGCGUCGACCGGCGCACGGGUGAGUAACGCGUAUCCAACCUGCCUCUGACUGAGGGAUAACCCGUCGAAAGUCGGCCUAAUACCUCAUGGCAUCGUCUGCGGGCAUCCAACGACGAUUAAAGAUUUCAUCGGUCAGGGAUGGGGAUGCGUCUGAUUAGCUUGUUGGCGGGGUAACGGCCCACCAAGGCUACGAUCAGUAGGGGUUCUGAGAGGAAGGUCCCCCACAUUGGAACUGAGACACGGUCCAAGCUCCUACGGGAGGCAGCAGUGAGGAAUAUUGGUCAAUGGGCGGGAGCCUGAACCAGCCAAGUAGCGUGCAGGAUGACGGCCCUAUGGGUUGUAAACUGCUUUUAUGCGGGGAUAAAGUGAGGGACGUGUCCUUCAUUGCAGGUACCGCAUGAAUAAGGACCGGCUAAUUCCGUG
rnacentral:rRNA from 1 species